rnacentral:rRNA from 1 species
AGCGGCGGACGGGUGAGUAAUGCGUGGGAANAGGCCCUUCUCUAAGGAAUAGCCUCUGGAAACGGAGAGUAAUACCUUAUACGCCCUUCGGGGGAAAGAUUUAUCGGAGAAGGAUUAGCCCGCGUUAGAUUAGGUAGUUGGUGGGGUAAUGGCCUACCAAGCCUACGAUCUAUAGCUGGUUUGAGAGGAUGAUCAGCCACACUGGGACUGAGACACGGCCCAAACUCCUACGGGAGGCAGCAGUAGGGAAUCUUAGACAAUGGGGGAAACCCUGAUCUAGCCAUGCCGCGUGUGUGAUGAAGGCCUUAGGGUCGUAAAGCACUUUCGCCAGAGAUGAUAAUGACAGUAUCUGGUAAAGAAACCCCGGCUAACUCCGUGCCAGCAGCCGCGGUAAUACGGAGGGGGUUAGCGUUGUUCGGAAUUACUGGGCGUAAAGCGCACGUAGGCGGAUUAGUAAGUUAGAGGUGAAAUCCCAGGGCUCAACCCUGGAACUGCCUUUAAUACUGCUAGUCUUGAGUUCGAGAGAGGUAAGUGGAAUUCCGAGUGUAGAGGUGAAAUUCGUAGAUAUUCGGAGGAACACCAGUGGCGAAGGCGGCUUACUGGCUCGAUACUGACGCUGAGGUACGAAAGUGUGGGGAGCAAACAGGAUUAGAUACCCUGGUAGUCCACACCGA